UAUUUAUUAGUUUAAAAUAAAACAUUAUAUUUUCAAUAUAAAAAUAAUUUUAUUAUAAAUAA
rnacentral:tRNA from 1 species